rnacentral:rRNA from 1 species
CCUACGGGAGGCAGCAGUCGAGAAUCAUUCACAAUGGGGGAAACCCUGAUGGUGCGACGCCGCGUGGGGGAAUGAAGGUCUUCGGAUUGUAAACCCCUGUCAUGUGGGAGCAAAUUAAAAAGAUAGUACCCCAAGAGGAGGAGACGGCUAACUCUGUGCCAGCACCCGCGGUAAUACAGGGGUCUCAAGCGUUGUUCGGAAUCACUGGGCUUAAGGCGUGCGUAGGCUGUUUCGUAAGUCGUGUGUGAAAGGCGCGGGCUCAACCCGCGGACGGCACAUGAUACUGCGAGACUAGAGUAAUGGAGGGGGAACCGGAAUUCUCGGUGUAGCAGUGAAAUGCGUAGAUAUCGAGAGGAACACUCGUGGCGAAGGCGGGUUCCUGGACAUUAACUGACGCUGAGGCACGAAGGCCAGGGGAGCAAACAGGAUUAGAUACCCCUGUAGUC